AUGAUCAGAUUGUAAAAAGAAUUUAGCCAAACCCCUAAAGCAGAUGCAUAAGAAGUCUCAUAAAUGGCAUUAUGAAAGUGCAUGAAGCCAUCAGUCUUAUCACUCUCAACAGAUGCUUACUGGGAAGUUGUGAUACAACUGCCUUUCAUAGAAUCAGCCUUGAACCAGACAAGCAGGGAUCCUUCUGGAAUCCAAAGGAGCUCCUAUGAAUUGUUGCAUUUGAGCUGGACUUAAUCCAGACUUUUCUAAAUAUAUCCUCAGCCCAAAAAGGUUGAAGAAGCAGCAUGUUAUCUUGCUGAUGUGACUCAAACCUGAUCUGACAGAAUUCUUAUAAGCCACUUGUCCAAAUAAAGAUACAUCUGUGAUCCUUAACAACAAAGGCAGACAGCCACAACUGCUCAAACCACUAGGGUGAGGAGCAGAAGGCUUUGGAGCCUCCUCAUCAUGAGGCAUCAUCUGAGGUCAGCGGAAUCAAGAGGUUGACAAAUAUUCCUCCACUAAAUGGACUUUGAACCUACAAGUUCCGUUGCCUCUAGCUUGGGAUGCAAAAUCCCAAACGGAUUGUAGAAUUAUAGUGUGUACACGCCUCACACAGACACCAAAAGGUAGCAUUAGGACCUAAAUUGACAAAAGAGAGAAGUGGAGGUCACAUAGCAACCCUUGAUGACAGAAAAAAGAACAGAGGGAUGAUAAGGAAGCCGGGCCUUUUACCCAUACUGCUGUAUUUCAAGAAAGUCUGGGAUACGCAUGCCCCUUAGUUUUGUUUCUACUGAAAUGAUUCAAUGGCUUGUAAGACAAAGCAAGGCACUCCUAACAAUGGGUAUCUGCACAAGUAAUUUCAAAAGGAGACCUUUCUGCUAUGAAAUUUUGUUUUUCCUCACUGGCAAAAGCUUAGUAGGGGGCUCAGCCCAGAAGCUUUUUGUGAAUGUUCAUAUGAAUCUUUUAUCAGAAUCUAAACAGAAUGACUGAAAUUAGACAUGGGAAAAUCUAUCUCCCACCCAGUGCAGGACUAUUGUUACAGUACAUAUUCCAGGGCCUUAUUCUAUAUAUUUUUAAAUAGCUCAAGUACUGAGGCUUCAUUCAGACCACCUUGGGAGACUAUACCACAGACUAACAAACCACACCAUCAGGCUAUUUUCCUUGACAUUCAAGAUUUCUUUUUUACUUUAAUCUCAUGGUCCCAAACUAUGCCCCCUUGAAGAACAUCAAAAUAAUUUUUCUCCCUCUUUGGCCUUCAAAUAUCUGUAACAGUUAUAUUCUCUUCAUAAUCAUGGGUUAGUUAGCCAAGCUAUACAUGUUUAGCUCUUUUAAUAUUCCAUCAUUAAUCAUUCUGGUCAAGCUCCUUAAUAAUUUUUGUUGCUCUUCUCUCAUUUCUCUCAAAUUUAUCAAUUCUAUAUCAUUUUGGUAAUGUGAUGCUCAGAGUGUCUAUUACUGCCUUGCUCCUCUGUGUACACAGCCCAAAAAGUGCAUGGGACAUUUUUCCUGCCACAUCACAUUUGUGAUCUCAUUUAAUUUAGUUAAUAAACCAAGUUCUCAAUUUAACCUAAAGCGUUCACCCUUGUUCCAUUGCUUAAGAAGGCAGAUAAAUAAUGGAGACUGGACUUUUGUACUUUCAGCUCAACUAUAAAAAAUAAUCACUAACUGGAAAAUUUAAUUCCAAGUAUUUUCAUUAAAUUCUUAAUGCUCUUUACACAAAAAGGAGUUUAAAUUCUUAGCAUCUUGCAAAAAAAAAUCCUGCAGUAUUGUAAUAUCUGCAGUUAGAAAAGGAAGAUAUUUAAGUUAAUCUAACAUUUCCCUUACAAGUGAAGGAUUGUUCCCUACAUUAUGGGUCAGAUUCUCAGAUGGUGUAAUCAGUGCAGCUUCACUGAUUUCAGUUGAGCUACAUCGAUUCACAUGGACUGAGAAUCUUGUCCUAUAUUUUCUAAUCUGACAAUCACAUGUUCUUUAGAUGCAGGGUUGCCAACUUUAAACUUGCACAAACCUAAAC